rnacentral:rRNA from 1 species
AACGAACGCUGGCGGCAUGCCUAACACAUGCAAGUCGAACGAGACCUUCGGGUCUAGUGGCGCACGGGUGCGUAACGCGUGGGAACCUGCCUUUAGGUUCGGAAUAACUCAGAGAAAUUUGAGCUAAUACCGGAUGAUGUCUUCGGACCAAAGAUUUAUCGCCUUUAGAUGGGCCCGCGUUGGAUUAGCUAGUUGGUGGGGUAAAGGCCUACCAAGGCGACGAUCCAUAGCUGGUCUGAGAGGAUGAUCAGCCACACUGGGACUGAGACACGGCCCAGACUCCUACGGGAGGCAGCAGUGGGGAAUAUUGGACAAUGGGCGAAAGCCUGAUCCGGCAAUGCCGCGUGAGUGAUGAAGGCCUUAGGGUUGUAAAGCUCUUUUACCCGAGAUGAUAAUGACAGUAUCGGGAGAAUAAGCUCCGGCUAACUCCGUG